AACCAAUCCUAAUUUCAUUCGAUCAGAACUCCUUCGUCACCCUCAAAACCCUAGCUGCGCAUACGUAUCUUCUCCAGCAAAUCCACAGAUCCAGCCGCUACAAUCCUUCAAAGAUCCAGCCGCCAUGAUCAUUCCGGUAUCAGAAGCAUUUUCCUUCUGAUUGAAUCAUAUACAAUCCAGACAAUACAAUCAAUCAGUUGGUGAAGCGUUUCCUUUUCAAUCAUUCAUUGCAAACCCCAAUCGCAAUAUCUUUAAAAUCAAGAAAUCUAUGUGGUUAAGAAUUGGUAGAAAAAAUUAUUGCGGCAUUUGAUCGAAGAUGGGAUCUAGAUAUGUAGCUCAGACUAAUCGCUCAAAAGUUAGACAUUCUUGCCGGGUUUUGGUUCAAAUACAAUAAUCAAAUCAACUAUGGUCCAGACCCACAUUGGAUUUUUUGCACCUACUUAUGAUGGAAACAUGGCCAAAGCUGUCGAAGGCCAUCAUAGGGAUUCAAAAUUACAGCACCAUGUAGAACAAUCGAAGAAUGAUGGGAUCUACAUUAGCUGUGUAGCAUCAAGUCAUCAGCCUAGCAUGUUUGGGCUGUCAAUACGGAUGCAGGAACAGGGUUCACUUCACAAGUUUACAAAAUGGAUGAACAUUAUGAUGUUAACUUUUUUAUUUCUUCAAUUUUUCAUCGUCUAAAGAAUUGAGAUUUUCAGGAACUACAAGUGGUACUGGAUUGGAAACAGCGCAUGUGGUUACUACUGUAACCACGUAUUGUACUUUUGAAGUUAUAAAAAAAAGGCAUCUGAGCUUGAGUUGUAAGUUGACCGGACAUCUAAGCUAGAAGGAAGCCUUCUACAACAGUGUGAUAUCAGGUAUAAGGAGGAUUUGGAGAAGUUGUUUUCUUAGUCUAAAAGUAUGUUAAUUUUCAUGUAAAUGUGUUUACUCUUGAUUUAGGUUAAUUUUGACACAAAUGGUUCUUGAAUGAUCUAUGAUGACAUGGAUUCUAUAAUCCCUAAAACUGAUGUUAUUUUGUA